rnacentral:rRNA from 1 species
CCUACGGGGGCAGCAGUGGGGAAUUUUGGACAAUGGGCGCAAGCCUGAUCCAGCCAUGCCGCGUGAGUGAAGAAGGCCUUCGGGUUGUAAAGCUCUUUCGGUAGGAACGAAAUGGUUCGUGCUAAUACCACGGACUGAUGACGGUACCUGAAGAAGAAGCACCGGCUAACUACGUGCCAGCAGCCGCGGUAAUACGUAGGGUGCAGGCGUUAAUCGGAAUUACUGGGCGUAAAGCGUGCGCAGGCGGUUUCUUAAGUCAGAUGUGAAAGCCCCGGGCUUAACCUGGGAACUGCGUUUGAAACUGGGAGACUAGAGUGUGGCAGAGGGGGGUGGAAUUCCACGUGUAGCAGUGAAAUGCGUAGAUAUGUGGAGGAACACCGAUGGCGAAGGCAGCCCCCUGGGUUAACACUGACGCUCAUGCACGAAAGCGUGGGGAGCAAACAGGAUUAGAUACCCUGGUAGCCCACGCCCUAAACUAUGUCAACUGGUUGUCGGGGGAUUAGCUCCCUUGGUAACGAAGCUAACGCGUGAAGUUGACCGCCUGGGGAGUACGGCCGCAAGGUUAAAACUCAAAGGAAUUGACGG